ensembl:lncRNA
GGGGGUUAAUGCUCUUAGGUGAGCUGAGCAAAAACCCACUUCUCCCUAGAUGGUGCCCCAAGCACAAAGCCUUGGGGUGAAAGUGCACAUCUGGUGCUUUUAUUGGGGAAGGCAGGCUCUGGACUGCUCACACCUGCCCAGCUGCGGGAGUAGGGUGGUGCAGAGGAAUGCCAAGGAAGCCUGCUGCUGCUCCCCCAUUCAUAAAUCCUAGGACUUGCAGCGCUGGAGCUGGAGGUAAACUUGAAUGUGGGGAGAGGCAGGAUCCCCUUUGGCACACCAUCAAAACUUAGUGCUUCCACUCGGCUGCCUGCUCCCCGCCCCUGCCCCACGCCAGAGGAGCAGCUCCUCUGACUUUUUUGGCAUGCCUGGGACACUAGACUAUUCUGUAGGCUGUUUAUUAGAGUCUUUUCUCCUAAAUCCCUGCCAACUGCCACCCCGCCCCCCAAAAAAGAAGGGAAGCAGUGUUAAUUUGAUUUACAGUGUGUAGCGUGACUGGCCUUCGGGUUAGGGUUGCAAGAGGUUGCCCUGCAUUUGCUUUCAGUCUGACUCCCCAGUUUGGGAGGCCAGAAGUAGCGCCUGCCUGCCCCCGCCCCGCCCAGGAGCACCUUCAAGGACAAGAAGCUUGCCUGAAAUUCACACCCCAGAGCGCCAGCCCUAGAGAUGGAGUGUUCUGGGAGUCCCUACUGGCCACGGCCCCCUCCUCGGUGAAUGAGGAACAAAACCUCGAGGCUACAGCUCUCUGGGCCCUUGGCUAUUCAUCCCCACUGAUUAUUCUUUGCAACAGUGUCCCCCUCACCCCCUCGGAUAUGUCUCGGAUAUCCUUUCUGCUCCAUCCAGGUAGACUCUUUACUGGUCCAAGGGCUGCGGUAACAAAUUACCACAAAUUGAGUGUCUUCAAAUAGAAGAGACCGUCCUAUGGUUCUGGAGGGUCAGAAGUCAGAAAUCAGCCUCAGCGGGGUUGGUUGUGGCCCAAAGUCCCCAGGGAGAAGGGGACCCCCGCGUCUCUUGGCUUCCUGUGAUGGCUGGCAACGCUGGGUGCUCCCUGGGUGUGUCCUUUGUAGACACACCUGUCCAAUCUCCAACUCCGUCUUCACGUGGCGUUCUCUUCUCCGCAAGGGUCUCUGUCUGCCUUCUUUUACAAGGAACACUAGUCACUGGAUUUAGGGCCUGCCCUAGUCUAGCAUGACCUCACCUUACCUAAGUAAUUACAUUUACCUUACUUAAUUGCAUUUGCAAAGACCCUAUUUCUAAAUAAGGUCACACCUUGAGGUUCUGGCUGGACAUGAGUUUUUUUUUUUUUUUUUGGCAGGGGUCGCGGGGACGGGGAACACUGCUCAACCCACUCUGUGUCUCUGCUUUCAGACACUCCCAGCCAGCAACCCACCCUGUCCUUUGUCAGAACCGUCUUCCUCGAACAGCACUGAGCACCUGAGCAUCCUUCACGGAUUUCCCACUGCCAACAAAAUAAAGUCCUAUCUCUUUAGCUCAGCUUUGGAAAACUCACCGCAGUCGGGUCCCAGCAGUAUUUUUUCAGAUUCCAUUUCUCCAGUUCUCCGACUCACCCCCUUUGCCGUCCAAUCGCACAGGAAAGGUUUGCCAUGUCGCUGGACAGGCUGUAAGUGCCCUGCCGCCUGCCGGGUUCUUGGUGCUUUGCCGCGACGCUCUCCUUCUCAAACACCCAUGUCAUGCCACACCUUUCCUGUCCCGUGAGGACAUUUCCAGCCAGACAAUUUGGGAGGGCUCACCUCUGCUGGCAGGCUGACUGGACUACCCUCUCUUCGCCUCUUCUCAGUCUGCUGUGAUGCUCUCCUCUGCAUGGCAAUCUAUUUUCUACACCUAAGGAUGAGCCUGAGUCUUGAACUUCUCUGGGUCCUUAGAUUUGAUAGGGGGGUAUCGAAUCACGUGGCGUCAAGGACCAAUGGUGGUGGACCCCGCUGUUGGGGUGAUCCUACAAGGGGGUUGUUUUAUAGCCAACAUGAUUAGAGCUGGUCGUGAUUCAAUGCAGUAACUGGAUCACCCCAUGUCUGCAGCCCUUGUGAUGUCAAGAGCCCCAUGCUGAGAUGAAACGAGGGGAAAGGAGAGAAUGGUUGCCGCCUUUAGAGUCGAGGGCGGCAGUCUUUCAAAGGGAGAGUGGAAUGACAGACGUGCCUCGGGAGAAGUGAGUUCUCAGGGUCAAAUGUGGAGGGGCACUGGUCUCAGGGGGACCGUUGUCAUGAUCCUUGGGGUGGGGGGAGGGUGUGGUGGGGAGGAUGCCCUGCCCUUACUCUUGCUGAUGGACAGUUGGUGAGAGAGAUGUUGGCAGGGUUGGGGGCUGGAAGGUAGAAUAGGAGACACAUGUUGGCAGGGAACAGGAUGGACGUCAACACCUUUCACUCUCAACUCUAAGAGAUGCUCUGAAAAGCUGGAUGUAACUGAGAGGGUAACAGGCAGGAAGGCCAGGGGUCUCCAAAUGGAGGAAAUAGCCUGCAAGUGUCAGACAUUUUAUCUCUCUUAAGCGGCAGGAGGAAACUAGCGAUAUUUUUUCCUUCUCUAUACAAAUUUAAAAGGAGGUUUCUCUUAAAAUUCUGUGUUGCCAUAAUGAUACCUGGUUUCACCUGAAGUUAACCAAUGCCUUUUUCUUAUGGAAAUGUUUAUCUUAAGCUAUGCUAAUGUACUAGGCAUUUACCCCAAACUCUGUCUUCAAGUCGGUUCCGCCUUUUGGGCUCAGAACCUACUUGAUAAACCAGCAUGUUCUACUCCGAUAUUGUUCCUCGAAUCUAUGUAAAUGACACUAUUUGUAUGGUGAUCUGCCCUUCUUCAAGAUUCAAGUUGAUCAUUUUAUGGCCCAAGAUGAACCAUUUGGAGCCAAGAUUAUCCCAAAAUACAUCCUAUGGGUGAGGGGCCUGGUGCCAUUCUAAGUUUUGAGACAUUCCUUUCUCUCAUUAACAGACUGCUGGUGACUAUAUAACAUCCAGCUAAAGACUAGCAGGGGGUACUCUUUGUGCCCCCUCUGAUGCCUAUGUCAGAAUCUUUCUCUAUCUCCUUUAUACUUUAAUAAAACUUUAUUACACAAAAGCUCUGAGCGAUCAAGCCUCGUCUCUGGCCCCGGAUUGAAUUCUUCUCCUCAGGGGGCCAAGAAUCCCGGCGUUGUAAUUCAACAACAACCUUUCAUAACAAGGAUGUUUCAGUUCCAAAGGUGGUUAUGGGUGUCUUUUGCUGGCCCCUCCAAAGUGGCAGUGACUGGCAACUGGCCCUUCAAACCCCCUCCCAUAGCUUCGCGUCACCAUGGGUACAUGCGUGGCACUUGGUUCAUGUGGAAGCUGGCUUCCUCUAAAUGUUUCUGCCUCUCUUGCACCCUGUCCUUUCUGUUUAUGACUCGGUUGCAUCAAAGUCCUCUAGGCGUCGCCUUUGGGGAUCAAGAAGCAGCUCACCCACGGGAGGAGAAGAGAGGUAUAAAGAACUGGGAUGAGAAUCCUGGGUGGACAGAUGCUCAUGGUGUGGGCUCUGGGCUGAGCCCACUGGAUGGGACAUUCUGCAUUUCAGAUAGACCAGGACAGAUCCCCAGUAUCAAAACCUCUGAGGCUACCAGAGCCCUUUCUUGCUGGGAUGAGUUUGGCAAUGAAGGCUCCCUCACGGUGGUAGGCUUAGACCUACUAAGCUAAAGAAACAGCCAAGAAAGAAUCUCUGCCCCUUGAGCGGACACCAUGCAAUGCUAGCCCUGAUCCUGGCUGAGCUGACUCGUGCCUACCUGCUUGGUCUCCCUCACCUGGCUGGGUUCACAAGAAUCUCUUACUAACCCUUGACUCCAUUAAAAGAAUUGUAGUUUCUUAGACAUUCUGUCUCAAAGGUUUGCCGGUUUCCCUCCUAAUAGAUUGCCGGGUUGGGUGUUUCAGCUGUCAGUAUUCAACAGGAGAGGAAGGAUUUAGUCACGUUUCUUUUGUUGGUUAAGUUUCCUCUGCAAAGUCCUGGUUUGCUGGUGCUAACAGCGAUUCUGCUUGGGUUCAAAGAAGCUGAAAACCAGCCGUACGGAAAGGAGCACCUCGAGUUAGAGUAGGUCCUACUCAUCUCCGUGAUGAAUGUGCACGAGUGUGCAGUGUUUUCAGAGUCAGGAAGGGGAGAGGCGCCAGGAGGAAAAAGGAUGCCAUGUUCACAACUCUGCUCUUAAGCAGUGAUUUUUCUCCACUGCUCCCUAUUACGGGAAUUUUCCAUCCACUUCCAACAGACAGAGAGAAGUGCAAACAACAUUUGACACAAAGUAAAGCAUGAAAAGAUCUUUCAAGCUCAGUGUCCUGGCUGUGACUCAGAAUUAUUCAUUAUAUUAAAAAAAAAAACAACCAAAAAGCAAAAAACACGUGGCCAUAUGGGCUCCAGAGAUGAGUUUGGAGCAGAGGUGGCUAACUCAUACCAUGUUCUUCUUGCCAUUUGCUGUCCUGUCCCCCUUGAAGGAGAUUGGGUUAGUCCAACUCUAAUUUCUGAAACAUCAAGGAUUCUAGGUAGUUGCAUCUGUGUUUCUUUUUCCCAACUAGACAGUGAAUUACUUGGGGGAAAGGAUGGUAUCCAUUUGACUUUACAUCUGUAGGAAGCAACUCAGUAAUCAGCUCUUAAGAACAUUCUUUUUUUUUUUUAAAAAGAAUGACUGGUUUACAAACAGCAAGACCCUCUGCAAGUGUAAGACAUCACACUCCCGUUUUCCCUUCGGAGCACGUACAUAUUUGAUGUGGGCUUGCACCAGGAUUGGGAUUCCGACUCAAAAGCAGGGCUGGUUCCUGGGGCUCCAUGACUUACAGACAAAAGGAGACAGAGCCGUGUGCAGGGCAGGGAGAGAGGGGAGCCAUGGGAAGUGGUGGGGUGGAUGCGGUUUAUGGAGGGUUAAGGGAAGAGGAGUGGUUUAAGAAAACCCAAAUCUAUUAUCUUACUGCCCUGGAGAUCACUGGGCUGAAAUGAAGGUGUUGGGAAGGCUGUGUACCUUCUGCAGGUCUAGAAGAGCACUGUUUUCUCGCCUUUUCCCACGGUGAGAGGCUGCCUGCGUCCUUGGGCUCACGGCCCCUUCAUUUUCAAAGCCAGCAUCUUCAAAUUUCUCUCUGAUGACGAGCUUUCCACCUCCCGGUGCCCAUCUCGAGCACCCCUGGGACUAAUCCACGGCGCUCACUGGCUCGUGUAGGACUGCUCCCCUCACGUCUGGGCUGUGUGCACCGUAACGUCUCACGUCUGGGCUAUGUGCCACGUAACGUCCUCACAGGAUCUGGGGAGCACGGUUCUGGGGCUGUGCUGUGGUGACCCCAGGAGGGCCCCGGGGGAUGGCAGAGGGCGGUGUCAGUCUACACUUGAGGAAACUUGGGCUCAGAGAGUUCCUGGAAAUUCGACUCUUUUUCUCCAUGGGACGGUGACAUUGCCUUGGUGGCUGGACCCCUGCGCCCAGAAGCCUAAGCAAGACUCAGUAGAAGGCCACUGGCUUCCUAUCCGUCUGGUCCUUUUUCUACGCCCGCGCCUCACGGCUCUCUCCCCACACUGGGGCUGGUGGUGGGGGGCAUUGGGGGCUGUGUCGGGUGGGGGGCACCCCUCCCCAUGAAUGGAGAGCAGCCACCACCUUCAGCAAGAUCAGGAUCUUUUAUCUGAAAGACCCUCAUUGUGCUGGCAGAAGUCUGAGCUCUCAGAAGUGAGUUGCCACCGGGGGCCGCUGAGGUCUCCGACCGGGCGGUCCCCUGUAGUCAGAAUCCUGGAAUUCCUCCCUUGGAAGGCAGAUGAAGGAGAGCCUAGUGGUCAACUCUUGAACCGAAGUCACGUUGCUUCCCUGGUGCAGCGGAGCGGGCUCCUCAGGCUGGGAACCCUGUUGCCCCAGGGCUGGCUCCUGGUAAAAGAGGGUGUUUUAGCUGCCGGUGGUGGGGCGGUCCUCCGAGGAGGCGCUGGUGGUUCUGGUGUCAGAGCCAAUGGCGAAGGCUGCAGGGCGCCCACCAGGCAGAACGGUGGGGCUUCUCCAGGUCCCGGUGAGGGCCCGAGGAAAAGACGGAGGAGCGCUUACUGCGUGAGGCUUCCCUUAGAAAGAGCACACCAUGGUCGGAGGAUGGGAGGAGGGGGCCGGGGGCUCCUUCCUAAGGGCCCCUCCUUCCAGUUCUCGCUCUUCCAGGGAGUGGGGGACCCUUCACCCUCACCACUGUACCCACUGCCCCCAAACCCGUGGGAGUCUGCCUGCUGCCCGGCACAUGGGGGCCCGGGACCUUGUUGGAGUGUGAAUUCCUCAUAGUUCCGAGGGUAGGCCAGUCUGCAGAGGAAGACGUGGCUGGGAGGGGAGGCAGCGGGGGUGAUGGAGGAAGGCCCCCCUGGCCCAAGCCCCCGGGGGAAACUGGGGGGACCGCUGAGUGGGACGCAGCACCUGCCCAGGUUCUCCCUGGGGAGGGGGCCUCAGUGCGACACGGUGGAGCUCCCCUCCGUCCCCAGCCGUUGACCCUUGGUGGGGGUGGGAUGGUGAGAGGUGGAGUGGAGGAGGGGGUGUCUCCCACCCUGGAGCUGAGGGUCACAUGGGUGAGCUUUCCUGACCCUGGAAGUCUUUAGCAUGGAGUUCUGCCCCACACUCCGUGGUCCUCGAGAGGCACCUUGAGGUCUGGCAGGGGCGUCUGCAGAAAAGUGUGUGCGGAGGAAACCAGGAGGAGCCUGCAGAAACAGCCACAGAGGUGGCUCGUUUGGUGCUGGGUGGUAGCGGUGGAUGGUAGUGGUGACAGGGCAGGGUAGGGGAGCCGAGCGUGCAUCUGAGGACACCGGACGGCAAGGAUGGCUGGAGCUCUCGUUGGCCUGAGAAACUUUUCCUUUGGGGGAAAUGAGCCCUGGGUGUGGGGCAAUGGCCAAGGAUGCUCCCUGGGCAGUAAGGGCAAAGCCCUGCCUCCACGGAGGUGCUGAAAGCCUGCAAGCCCUGGCAAGGAGAGAGGUCCGACACUCUCUGUAUACCCUGCAGCCUCAGACAAGAAGAGAGAGUGCCUGCCCCUCCAAGGAAGAGUCAGUUCAGAAGCCCAGCAGCCGCCACCCCCGAGGAGGCUGCCUCCCUCCAGGGCCUCCAAGGCUGUGACUCAGGCUCCCAGAGCUAAGCCCCCAGGAAGCGAGCCCUAAGAGACUUGGUGUCACUUGACUUGUAGCCACGUGGGCUCCAGGGACCUCUGAAUGUCUCAGACCCUUAGAGCCUGGGAGGCCAUUUGGUGUCUUAAUGGGCCUUAGACCCUGCUGCGGGAAUUUCCUGGGUUGGGAAGGCUGAGAAUUAAGGUUUCCCUUUUAGGAGGCCAGCAAUCUGCUGGAAGAUGUGGAGUAAAACGACCCACGAUGUCUCCUUUUCCUUUCUCCUGGGGCUCUUGGCCGCUCGUGAGAUGUGCCGACUGGAAUACGAGAACCAGCAGACACGGGGUGGGGAGGAACAAGACGGAAGGUCUGUGGGCCAGAAGCAAGGCCGCCCCGGGAAGUCUCUAAGAUCUCUCUUCUGGUGGUGAGACCUAUACCCUGUAGGAGGGAGCUCAUGGCUUCCAGGGAAGGGGUGGCCCUCUUUGGGAUGGGUGAGCUUGGUUGCAUCCAGCCAAGUUUGUUUCUUAGAGGGACCCUGACAGCCUCUGGGGUGUAACUGCCCAGAGUGGAGACUGGAUCUUGAGCAGAGAAAAUCCUGCAGGUUCUGGAGCAAGGAGAGCCGCCUCCCCUCCCACCCCCAUCCCCACCCUCAUCCCCACCCUUACCCGGGGAUGCCGACUUGAAUGGAGUCCACGUGGAUGGACCUGGCUGAGAAAUCCCGGCGGUGGGUGUGACAUCAUCCAGUCACUUCUGGUUUCCUGGAAACCCAAGAACUUAGGAGAAGCUGAAUCCUUUUCUAGAAUUUCUAUCUGGAAGCCACCAGUUUGGUUUUUGUUUUGAACCCAGUUAGCACAAGUGCAUGAGGACAGCUGUCAGGAGUUUCGUUACAGAGAAGACAGGAAUGUUUUGUUGCUCCUGGUCCCAGUGGAACAGUUACAGAUGGGUAAAGAAGAACCACAGAAAGCAGAGACCGUGCUGGACCACAGAGGCCUUUGGAGGCCAAGCUGAGAGCAUGUGAUGCUUCUGCGGCGGUUCCAUGACACACCCCUCCGAACCAGGAGAAGGAGAGAUGUAUGCUCAGUGAAUUGAGGACCUUCCAUCUGCUGUGG